rnacentral:lncRNA from 12 species
AUGUGUGAAAGAGAAAAGUCUCCCAUGGCAUCCUCAAUAGUAAUAGCCAAAGCCAGAGCCGCACCCGUAGCCACAGCCACAGAGAGAGCGGGAGCCAUACCCAUAGCCACAGCCAUAGCCACAGCCAGAGCCACAGCCAGAGCCAUAGCCCAGUCUGCCAAAGCCACAGCCAUAGCUGGAGCCAUAGCCACAGCCCAGACCUCCAUAGCCACAGCCUCCAUAGCCGCAGCCUCCAUAGUAGCUGCCACACAUGGUGUUGGUUGUUGAGGUUGUGUUUAGGUAGAGAAAGAGAGAAGUGUCACUUCACUGUGUACAAUCCCCCUGCAGAGACCUUUUAUAUACCCUCAAUGUGGGUGGGAUCCACCACACAAGUCAUCCCAUUGGUUAAUUUGCGAAACCUCUGUGAGUAACUUGUUGACCCUUGGUUUUAGGGUAAGGCUUUGGGGGCAAUGAGGACAUUUGCUAUUGUUUAGCCACAUUGAAUCAUCUGUGAGUCAUUCAUAAGAAUCAGUUGUCCUAGCUUCAAAACCCUACUUAUACAAGAUCUUCAAGUUAGCAAUUUGUAACCAAUCUUUAUGACAAGAAAUAGCAUUUUAGACAUUCUGACCUCAAACCACCAAACGACCAGCCUUCUUUUGGCUGACAUUCAACAGGUCAUAAUAAUCUGCCUUAAUUUGAGAUUCUCCAUCUCUUCUUCUCUGUUUCAAAACAUUUUUUCUUUUAGGGAUUUUCCUUAUUUUCACAUGAGGAGUAGCUUACUAGGAAAAGCCAAAAGGUAUCACUCAACUUCAUGAGACUAUUAACGAAAAGCCAAUAGUUUAAAAUUCUGGAACACCAAGGCCUGAAAAAACUGGGCUUUUCUUUCUCACUUAUAUUAAUAUUUCCUUUUAUGACUCUACUUUUAAAACAUCAAUUUUUUUUCAUGAUUUCAAAUUUAUGUCCUGAAUCUAUAGCCAGGAAAUAGAAAUGAGAUUUUAUUUCCUUUAUAAAAUUUCAUUUUCAUGAAUGAGUUUUCUUUAUACUUAAACAUAUUUGUAAUGUUUGUGUUUUGGCUCAAAGAUGAAUAUAGGCAUUUCUUUAUUUAAAAUAAUACUAGCAGAGUUACCUUUCAUGACACUAAUAAAUUUUCAUCAACAAACA